GAGGGCCAGGAUAUGCUCAUUAAGUAAAGACAGAAAAGCAGCUCUAAGAAGGCACUUACCCAGAAAUAGGUAACUCCUGUAACUUAUCAAGGCAAUCUAGGUGGGGAAUAACGCAGAUCGGGCCCAUAUAAGUAAUUGUAACCACGACAUGGGGAGGAUAUGUAAGAAGGGAGAAAAAAGCAGGGAGGAGGGAAUUGCAGAAGAGAACUGAGGGGAAUAGGGAAAGAGAAUUGUAUGGAAGUGAAAGAGAAUAGAGAGACAAUAGCAAUAAAUGCUUGCUGUGUUUAACAACAUCUGGUGUCCUGGGUGCUCUGUGGGGAAAGAACACAGCUAAAGAGAGUCCGGAAGACCUGGUAUGAUGAAAAUGGACGUGAGCAGUGGGAGCCGACCAGAAGAAUCUGAGUCAUCAGAGAAGAUAAACGAGAUCGAACAGAACAAGAAGAAGAGGCAGAAGAAGCCGCAAAGAAGAAGUUCCCAAGACCAGAAGCAGAGAUGGAAAGGAGAACUGCAGUCUCUGCUGAGACUGUUAUCUCUCAUGAGUCUCAACACAGGGGUGAUAGCACAAAGAAAGUGGAGUAACUCUGUGGCACCAGCACAAUGCCUGGCCAAUUAAUAGAGACAAUGGACCUGGGAGAUGACAGCGAGACCACCGGUGGUGCAGGGUUGGGGACAAAAGACUCUUGAAAUUGCAAUAGAAUGGUUGGGGGAUGAGUUAGUAUUACAAAGCUUGUUGCCUCAAUACCAUGCCAUUUUGCUUAUCGUCCUAUAUGUGUCACACCUUUGUAUGGCCCUUAAUAACACUUGGGUGAAUGUAUGGGAUCACCUCCGUGGAGCUUUGUUAGCCACCAAUGAGUUUAAUCAAAUUGAGGAAUUAUUGCCUGAUGAUGUGAUGCAUUCUCAUCUGUCUGUGUUGUCUUCUUGGCUUUACAGCACUUUGUUUACUAUAAUAAUCUUUUUUGUAGUGCUUAUGUGGUUGCCAUGUCUAUUGUUAUGCAUCAAUGUGUUGAUAAGAAGGGCUCUUAUGAAUGCCUUUGCACAAUGGCAUCCCUGUCCUCAGGUCACUGUCCAUGCCAUAGAAUUGAUUGAGUAAGAUACUGUCUCCCAAAGAAGUUGGGAAUCACAGACAGCGGACACGGGGUUUGAGUUAAGGAUGUUUGGGAGUCCUGGUCAUGACCGUGCUCCAUACAAGACUGAGCCUUCCCUAUGCUUGUGUACUGUGAAUGGGGUUUCCCUUUCCUGUGACAUGAGUGGUUCCCGCAAAACAAGAAAGGGGAUUUGUUAGAUACAUGGCAUGGAGGGACCAGAGGGCCAGGAUAUGCUCAUGAAAUAAAGACAGAAAAGCAGCUCUAAGAAGGCGCUUACCCAGAAAUAGGUAACUCCUGUAACUUAUCAAGGCAAUCUAGGUGGGGAAUAAUGCAGAUGGGGCCCAUAUAAGUAAUUGUAACCAUGCCAUGGGGAGGAUAUAUAAGAAGGGAGAGGAAAGCAAGGAGGAGGGAAUUGCAGAAGAGAACUGAAGGGAAUAGGGAAAGAGAAUUGUAUGGAGGUGAAAGAGAAUAGAGAGACAAUGGCAAUAAAUGCUUGCUGUGUUUAACAACAUCUGGUGUCCUGGGUGCUCUGUGGGGAAAGAACACAGCUAAAGAGAGUUGUGCUGGAGCCAUCCGAAGACCUGGUAUGGUAAGAGUUCAGUUGAGACCCUCUUGGUGAAUAGCGAGACCCUUACAAGGGGAUAUUCUGUGACAAGGUAAAUUGCCCACUCUCUCCUAAGUAUGUAGUAGUAUUCACAAUCUGCUAAUGUAUAUAAUCCCAUAAACACCAAGAUUGCUCAACAAAAUUUUAUCUUCUUUUGGAAGUGCACACAUACAAAAUGAAUAAAGGCAUUACAUCCUG